CCCUCUCUCUCUGCCUCUCCGCAAAGCAGGAGUCUCACCACGCCGCCACCGUCGCCAGGAGGGAGAUCACCCGGCCCCUGGGGCUCUGUGCCCCCCCCAGCAGGACUCUGCCGCAGGACGAGGGCACGGUGCCACCCCCAGCUCAGGACAGGUGAAGGCAUCUGACAUCAAACUACUGAGUGAACAUCCAGAAAUCAGCUGGUUGAUCACUACGACCCCAGCCGAGUGGAGAGGGUGUAGACCCCCAGAUUGUAACCUUUGCCUAAGACUCGGCUCCAACACUGUGACCCUGGUCUCCCGCUGCGAACCUUCAUCUCAUCCAACCGCCCCCCCUCGGCCCCCCCGCCCCGCCCCACCACAGCAAUGGCCUUUCUCUUGGACACAAGCAUUGUUUACACGGUCAUCUGGUGUUGCGCAGAAAGAGCUGUCCUACUGCCAAAGGGAAGU